rnacentral:rRNA from 1 species
UACGAAGGGGGGCUAGCGUUGCUCGGAAUUACUGGGCGUAAAGGGAGCGUAGGCGGGUUAUCAAGUUGGAGGUGAAAGCCCAGGGCUCAACCUUGGAAUUGCCUUCAAAACUGAUAGCCUAGAGUAUGAUAGAGGUAUGUGGAACUCCGAGUGUAGAGGUGAAAUUCGUAGAUAUUCGGAAGAACACCAGUGGCGAAGGCGACAUACUGGGUCAUGACUGACGCUGAGGCUCGAAAGCGUUGGGGAGCAAACAGG